rnacentral:rRNA from 1 species
UACGUAGGGAGCAAGCGUUGUCCGGAAUCAUUGGGCGUAAAGCGCACGUAGGCGGCCCUGUAAGUCCGCUGUGAAAGUCAAAGGCUCAACCUUUGAAAGCCGGUGGAUACUGCAGGGCUAGAGUCCGGAAGAGGCGAGUGGAAUUCCUGGUGUAGCGGUGGAAUGCGCAGAUAUCAGGAGGAACACCUGUGGCGAAAGCGGCUCACUGGACCACAACUGACGCUGAUGCACGAAAGCUAGGGGAGCAAACAGG